GAUGAACGCUGGCGGCGUGCCUAAUACAUGCAAGUCGAGCGAACGGACGAGAAGCUUGCUUCUCUGAUGUUAGCGGCGGACGGGUGAGUAACACGUGGAUAACCUACCUAUAAGACUGGGAUAACUUCGGGAAACCGGAGCUAAUACCGGAUAAUAUUUUGAACCGCAUGGUUCAAAAGUGAAAGACGGUCUUGCUGGCACUUAUAGAUGGAUCCGCGCUGCAUUAGCUAGUUGGUAAGGUAACGGCUUACCAAGGCAACGAUGCAUAGCCGACCUGAGAGGGUGAUCGGCCACACUGGAACUGAGACACGGUCCAGACUCCUACGGGAGGCAGCAGUAGGGAAUCUUCCGCAAAGGGCGAAAGCCUGACGGAGCAACGCCGCGUGAGUGAUGAAGGUCUUCGGAUCGUAAAACUCUGUUAUUAGGGAAGAACAUAUGUGUAAGUAACUGUGCACAUCUUGACGGUACCUAAUCAGAAAGCCACGGCUAACUACGUG
rnacentral:rRNA from 1 species